rnacentral:misc_RNA from 1 species
AAAAAAAAGAAGGAAUUAAGAGUUUUAGUGAUGUGAAAAUCAACUGUCUUUAUUAAAGGGCAUUAGCCAUUUAGAUAGAUAGGAAGUUUAGAAAAAAGGAUUGGAGAUGCAGAAAGGGAAAGGAGAAUGCUGCUUAGGAGAGAUGGUUUAAGAGUUAAUAAGAAAGAAAUCGAGUUCAAACCAAAUAGAAGAAAAACAAAAAGGGAAAAUUUAUCAACCUCAAAAUUUGAUCUGGUGGGGUUAUGGUGUGGGCG